CGAAUAACUAUUACUAAUGACGGUACCUGAAGAAUAAGCACCGGCUAACUACGUGCCAGCANCCGCGGUAAUACGUAGGGUGCAAGCGUUAAUCGGAAUUACUGGGCGUAAAGCGUGCGCAGGCGGUUGUGUAAGUCAGAUGUGAAAUCCCCGGGCUCAACCUGGGAAUUGCAUUUGAGACUSCACGGCUAGAGUGUGUCAGAGGGGGGUAGAAUUCCACGUGUAGCCAGUGAAAUGCGUAGAUAUGUGGAGGAAUACCGAUGGCGAAGGCAGCCCCCUGGGAUAACACUGACGCUCAUGCACGAAAGCGUGGGGAGCACACAGGAUUAGAUACCCUGGUAGUCCACGCCCUAAACGAUGUCUACUAGUUGUCGGGUCUUAAUUGACUUGGUAACGCAGCUAACGCGUGAAGUAGACCGCCUGGGGAGUACGGUCGCAAGAUUAAAACUCAAAGGAAUUGACGGGGACCCGCACAAGCGGUGGAUGAUGUGGAUUAAUUCGAUGCAACGCGAAAAACCUUACCUACCCUUGACAUGGAUGGAAUCCUGAAGAGAUUUGGGAGUGCUCGAAAGAGAACCAUCACACAGGUGCUGCAUGGCUGUCGUCAGCUCGUGUCGUGAGAUGUUGGGUUAAGUCCCGCAACGAGCGCAACCCUUGUCAUUAGUUGCUACGAAAGGGCACUCUAAUGAGACUGCCGGUGACAAACCGGAGGAAGGUGGGGAUGACGUCAAGUCCUCAUGGCCCUUAUGGGUAGGGCUUCACACGUCAUACAAUGGUACAUACAGAGGGCCGCCAACCCGCGAGGGGGAGCUAAUCCCAGAAAGUGUAUCGUAGUCCGGAUUGGAGUCUGCAACUCGACUCCAUGAAGUUGGAAUCGCUAGUAAUCGCGGAUCAGCAUGUCGCGUG
rnacentral:rRNA from 1 species